ACUGAAGCGACUUAGCAGCAGCAGCAGCAGCAGCAGCAGCAGAAUAAACUAACCAAUGGGAUGCUAGUAAAGAACUUAGGGAACUUGUUUUAAUAAAUUCCAAAAAUGACUUGCAAUUAAAAUUAGUUAUAUCUCCUUUCACAUGGGUGCUCUUAAAGUACUUAAAAAGAGUUUGUUCUCUUAAGAAAUUCAAAGAUAUUCCUCCUAUCACAAUCUUUUUUUUGUUUGUUUCGUAACCAUGUAUUUGCUUAGCAAGUCUCUAUUGAGAGAUAGUAAAAAGUUAUACUUUAGGACAGUAGAUUUCCAAAUGCCCUCAGCUUCUCUUUAGUGGUACGUAGAUAAAUGAGGUGAGGUGAUACUGUGUUUCCUAUAUGCAUAAAUGAGAUCCUCAGCUUUGUGUGUAUUUCUUCUUCCAUGUUUGUCUACAAUUCUCCUCUCCUAUGCCACCGUCUCUUAACCACUUCUCUUCCACACCCAGAAUUGUUUGACAUUCUUGGGCCUUGGGUCAUGGAUGUGAAUCUGCCUCUGCCUUUUACCUGCAAUAAGAUGGACGUUUUAUUGGCAGGAGCCAUCCCUAAAGGGAGACAUUUUGGAUAUCCAGGGUUAAGCCGGACCCCAGUGACUCUCUAUUGACACUGUUAUGUGUGUAGUCAAGAAUCAUUACAGAUCGAUGGCACUUCCUGAGUCUUAGAAGAAGUUCCUGUGAGUCACCAAGACUGGUUUGGGAUCAAGGAGUAGGGUGAGUACAUUACACUCUUCGUUGGUUUGCAUGUCUCUAUGCUGGUGCUGCCGCCUGGAAGUAUGAAGAAACUGACAGUUUUCUUUACUGAUAGUGACUAAGUUUGCUCCUUGAACUUACUCAGGUCUUCUUCCCAAGAGCAAACCCUCACUUUCUUUCAAGUGGCUGCUGCAAACAAGGGACCUUUUUGCCUUAAGAACUGAACCAAUCCAGUGACUACCAAAACCAUUGAUUUUACCAGAUGGUGUUAAAGAAUAAGUUCUACCACCGGAAAAAAAAAAUUGUAAUCCAGAAAGAAAGUAUUUUUUAAAAUUAACCCAUUUUAAUGAAUUUUUUUGAAAUUGACUACGUGGCCUUAACACAGUUUCUAUGAUUAGGAUGUGGUUAUUUGCCUUUGGUGUUAUCCUGAUAACAUGAAUGUGUUUCUUAUUGACAAACAAUGACCAAAUGUCCAACACCAGAGCUACAGAAAGAGCAGCAGGAAUGAAAAGCCUGAAGGUAAGAAUGCUGCUAUACAGUUGCCAAGAAGAAAGACACCGCUGCAGUGGCAGAGUUAAACGGUAUAUGGCUAUGCUCUUUCUGCCCCACUAAGAGCAAAUCAUUUGGUCUCCUUUCAUUUGAAGAGAAGAAUAUAGGACUACACUCUCUGAAAGGUAGGACAGCCAUGGAAAAGAAAUGCGAAAGAUUUGAAAUGAUUGGAAAAGAAACACAAAAGAUAUGAAAUGAUUAAAACACGUUCGAUGAGGGUGGGAAUUGAGGUUGGUGGAACAGGGUGGGGGCAGAUUUCUUUUACAGAGAACAAUUGAAAUCUAUUCUCUUUUGACUUUCUAGAGAGCGGUAAAACAUUUGGCCCUUGGCACAUGAGGCAAAUCCCUAUUGGUCAGAGGUGGCAAAGGGUGGUCCAAGUGCUAGAUUCACCAUAAAGCUCAAUUUCAUCUGGCUUUGAAGCAAAUAUUUCUCAAAAUAUAGAUCUAAGACAAUAGCAUCCAUUACAUUAAAAAAAAAAUGAGAGGGAGAGACUGACUCUGCUAGCAUGUGAUGUCUAGCAUUGCUGCUGGAAAUGCAGAGAAGUGGAUGAAAGCUGAAAAGAGUGGCGUGUACCCUGGAAUGGCAACCAGAAGUUAGCUUUCAGAUCUGAUAGGUAGACCCUAUUUGUUGCAAUCUAUUGGCAUGUAAGCUAAGACUGAUUAUUUUUCUAUGGGUCAUGGUCAAUGGAGGGCUACUGAGAGAAAAUGCUAGCACCCAUUGGAUUAAACUCUCAAUGAAUAUUUUGCCUAGAAUCAGGAAAAUGAACUAGAUGUCUUUCUUCAGAAACACUUGUUGAGUUUCUGGUAAAGACCUGCUUCCGUCUGUCUUCUCAGUCUAUGCCUCUCUUUCUCAGUAUCAUGGGGAUGAACUAAAGAAAAGACACUUGUAUGUAGUGAAACACAACCAAAUGUGAUAGUUUGAAUGUUAAUGGAUCUCAAAACAGGGUUUUCAAGGGACUCAUAUCAAUUACAUACCUGGGAAAUUAUCUGUGGCCACAUUUUAAACAAAACUAGCUUCUCCAGAAGCUUAGCAUCUUUCCUUCAUGCCCUUCUCCCUGUCAGGGACAAACUGAGUAAGAAGUCUUCCCAGACAAAUUGGGUUGUGUCAGAUAGUCCACAACCAAUAAAUUGUUCAGGUUUCUAGUUCUAGAGGGAGAGAUUGGACCAAGGCCUAGUUUGGCAAGAAUCCAUUAGUGAAAUUCACAACUUGUAAUCAAGAGGUCUAUCACUUUGCAUUUGAGAGGUUAUCAUUUGGAAAUGACCUGGCUUUAUCCAAAUAUCUCUAAGUGACUUUGGGGGCUGCUUCUCUAGCACAGAAGCCCAUCGAUAGGUUUCAAUCACUAGUAUUGUUGGGCCCUUAGUAAAAUGGCUCACAGCUUUCACCUCCUAAUGUUAUAGGCAUGCAUUAUUGAAUUUGCUCUUUGCACUUACAUUAAAUUAUGAUCUCAUUAGCAAGGAGUUAAAUAGGUUUAAGCUUCAUUUGUGAACUACAUGAUAUAAAUACUGUCUCAGAGUGAGAGUCUAGCAGCUAAGCACUGUAUAACUCUGCAAAUUACUGUAGCUGCCCCUGUGGAAUGAGGGUCACUUGGGUGGCCAGGGUCCAGUAUUGCCAGCAGUCAUAUGUGCCUGCUCUCAGGUUGUGGAGAAAGUUCAGGCUUUCUCCAAGGGUAGAAAGAUUAAAAUAACUUAAAUCUUCAUUUUCCUAGAAUCCUGCAUCCAGAAACCCCUGUGAAAAGAAAUAAAUCAAGCUUCUUUAAAGGGGCUCCAGAAUAUUAAUGUAGUCUAGGGCAUAGCCUCCAGCAGCUACUAGAUGGAGAGGUAAAUCCCUUCACUACACUAUCCCCAGGUAACCUAUGGAAAAGAAUAGCAAGGACUCUAGACUAUAUCCUUUCAUCCAAUGAUGAAUCUUCUCUUGGUAAUAGAUCAAGUCCUGCCUGGGCAGAGAUGUCUGUAACUGCCUUCCUGCCUGUGAUUUCCUGAAUGAUACUAGGAGUUCUCCAGAAAAGGCUAGGGAAACAAGCGAGCAAUUUGAAAAGGUGAACUGUCACCAUGAAAACCUGAAAUAUCUUCAGUAGAAAAGCCAGUGAUAGAUGGCUUUUCUCCCUCCACUGGACCAAAGAUAAUUUUUAGAAGUUGUUCCAAAAAGUCACUAGGUACCAAGAAGCAAAUGCAGUAACUUGGAGUGAGCUUUGGAUAAAUCAUAGCAUGAGGGGAGGGCUUCCAGCUUAGGCUGUGAUAAGUUUCUGUUAUCAUCAUUCAGACAUUGUGUUCUUAGAGCAAGUUUGUAAUUAACACUGCAAAUACACCAUCCUUGCUCAUGUAUUUCUUUUACUUCUCCAUAAUCUCCUUGUCUUUCGCUCCAUGACCUAUGUAUUUACACAUAUAUCUGUCCUUCCUAAGGGCACCAUUGACGAUCUCUUGGUAUAAUUAAUUAAACAGACAUUUGCUCUUUAGGUGCCCCUGCUCAGAAAGGAGAAAAGAAGCCACUUAAACUAGAAUAUAUCGCACAGUCUCUCAAAUAGAUAAAUCUUACAACACCCUCUGAUUCCUAUAUCUUUCAGGCCUAGAACCACAUCCAUAGUACAGACCUUGUCUCUCAACCCUUCUAGGAGUACCAUAUGGAGGAAUCAACUUGGUCACUAACUCACGAGGCCUUUUUUUCUUCUUUGCACUAUGGGAAAACAGCACCCUCACAUCACUCUCUCCACAUUUCUUUCUUUAUAAAAAAAGAAUCCAACAUGGCUCAAAUCUAUGUAGUUUAGGUAUUUCCUGAAAUCAAAAUUAAAAAAUAAAUUGGACAGUUCCUUUGAAAUCAAAAUUUUUAGUUACUUAAAAAAAAAUAAGCAGUUUCUACUUUCACAGAAGAAAAAAUUGUUCCUCUUAUCCUAAAACUGUCUGCAUAUGUAACACUGGCCAGCACUAAGAUGACACUGAACUUCACAAUGGCUGGCUCAUAGCUCCCAGAAAUGAGCUGGGAACCUAGACAACUGCCACCCGGGGCUGGAUGCCCUGGAUUAAUGAGCACAGAGCUUUGUUGUUGAUUGUUGCCAGGUGGGGAUGGCAGAGAUAAGCAGAAAUUUGUAUCAGCCAGUAAUGUUUUCUUCAAAAAUAGAACUCAUUUUCAAGGCAUUAUGAAUUACAUUACUACCCCAAUUUCAAAAAAAAAUUGAUGCUACUUCAUGACUGCUCCCCACACUCAGGAACCAUCAUUCUGUCUCAGGUCAGUGCUCCCUUCACAUACUAUUAACUGACUAUCUAGGUGACAUUUGCUGUUAUCCCCUCCAUCUGGUCCAUAAUCCACAUACAUUUUUAUGCUAUAGGUGCAAUUUACAGCCUUUCCGUAGGAGGAAUUUACAGCCUUUCCUCCACCCAACACCCCAGACCAUUAUUUAAACAAAACAGAACAAAGAGUUGGAGUUCAUAAACAGUUACACUCCACUUCCUUUCCCAUUUCUCAUGAAGCUUUGUAUUUUAACAAGGAAGUUUCCUCCAUCUUAAAGAUGUGAAAUUCCCUUGAUGGAAUGUCAGGUACCAGUGAGGAAAAUAUUUGUGGCAGAGGUGGGGGGUCCCAGACCCCCUGAAAUUACAAAGCACUCCUGUUCUCUCCCAAGCUCUACGACCUGUGUUUUUGUUUUGUUCUGUUUUAUUUUUGCCUUAAGAGGACUCCACUCAGGAAAUAUUCACAGCAAGCCCUUCAGAGGGGAGAAUGACUAACUAAUUUCCAUGAUAGGAAUCUGACCUACUUUGUUUAAUUCUUUCCAUUCUCUAUUGAAGCAAGGACAAUAAAUAUUUCUGACUUCUAAUUCUCUUAGGUACCCGUUAAGGGCCUGCAGUCAGAGCUCUGAAACAUUCCCCUGGAGACAUACCACUGCACCACAGCAGUGAAAGGCCCCAGCUGCUGGAUCUACCCUUGCUAGGCUGAGAGUUAUUUUGAAUCUGAUGGUCCCUAAAGAAAAAGUUCAUUAUGAACAUCCAAAGUCUAAGAACAAAAACAAUGCGGGCUUGCCACCCCCUUUUGUGUGUUCCAUUGGUGAAGGUACAGUGCAGGCUAGAGCAGAUUACUUACCCUUUCUGUACUUAUUCAUGGCUAUACUUAGAGAAGCCAUGAAUCUACCUUCUUAAAGUGAUUAUUAAACUUGACCAAUAAUAAUAAUUUUAUUAUGUGUUAAGUGCUAGGCUGGAAAACAAAAUGCUAAAAGAGCUUUCUAUUCAAGUAUUUCUUGAGAGAACUAUUCUAAGUGGGGAAUACAAAUAUAUAAGCCAUGGUCUUUCCACUUGAGCAACAUAGUUUAGGGGGAAACACAAGGCCUGGGCACAAAUAAUAAGGCAAGAUAGAAGAUGAAGAGGGGGAGAGAAAAUAUUAGGGUGAGGAGCAAAAAUGGCAUCAAGAGGAAAGUGACAUUUAAAGUGACCAAUUGCCCACCUAAUUCUACUUUCUUUAAAAUACCAAAUUGUAUGUGUCUAUGUGUGUGUGUGUGUGUGUGUGUGUUUUGGAAGGGGAACGUCAAUACAUUUGGUUGAUUUGAAUUGAGUUUGGCAAUACAUCCAGUAAGGUACAGUAACAGAGAAAAUUAUGUGGAUAGAAGCAGUUUUUCUCUGCCAUCUUGAGAAUUUGUUCCACCCUGCAGCAACAUACAAUUGUAGGAGAUUUGGCCUUUAAAGUACUUUCUUUUCUUGGCAGCUAUCCUAACCUUGUUAAGUGGUAUUAUCUGUGAUUUCUGAUUACAGCUUUUAUGCUGCUUGGCUGUGCUGCUGCUUAAAAUGUUUGUUUUUCUCCUUCAUUUUUAUUUAGAAGUUCCCAAACGCACAUUGGUUCCCUGCCAGAUUUCAUAAACCCUGUGAUUUUUUUUUUCCAAUCAAAGACUAAACUUCUAAGGAUAUAUAAUUUGUCAGAUUUCCCUAAAGUCCUGGGGCAUCAGAUGAGGUUUGGAUUGUCUAAGGCAGGGUUUCCCAGCCGCAGCACUAUUGACAUCUGGGGCCUCGUGGUGGGGGAGGUCCUGCAUAUAGUGGGGUGUUUAACAGCAUCACUGGCCUCUACCUACUAGAUGCCUGUAUUGCCCCCCUCCCCAGUUGUGACAAUGAAAGAUGACUCGACAUUGCCCAGUGUCUCCUGAAGGGCAAAACUACCCCUAAUAGAGAACCAUUGCUCUAAGGCAACCUCCACUGUAACUGUACAGACUAUGGUAGUAGAGAGCGGUUACUGACCAUUCUGAGGGAGCCACUCAAUGGCCUAAGGCAGGGGUAGGCCACCUGUCAGAAAAGCAGGAUGCUAGAUUGCUGACCUGGAUGCUAAAUGCUCAGCCUGGAUUUUGACAAGAGUGGAGGGUGGCAGCCCAGAAUAAGGCCAGCAGAGGAAAAGCCUUCCCUCCUUUAAAACCAGUACUUGUUUGUCCCAGGACCCCUUUACACAAUUCAAAGUUAAAGGAACCCCCAAAGAUUUUGUUCAUAUGUAUUAUGUCUAUUAAUGCUUACCAUAUCCGAAAUUAAAAUGGAAUGAUUUUUAAAUAAUGUAUUAAUAACUCAUUUAAAAAUAAUAAACCCAAUGUAUAUUCACAUAAAUAGCUUGCUUUUUAAAAAAUCAGUGAGGAGUGGCAUUGUCCUAUUUGCAAGUAUCUUUAAUAUCUGGCUUAAUAUAACAGAAUAGGAUUCUCAUAUCUACUUCUUCAUUCAAUGUGUUGUGAUAUCACAUGUCAUGUUACCUCCAGGAAACUCCACUGUACAUCAUGAGAGAAUAAGAGUGAGAAAGGCAAAGAACAUCUUAGUAUUACUACCAAAAUAGUUUUGACCUCACCGACCCUCUGAUGAAAAGAUUUCAGGGAUCCUCCAGGGGUCUCUGGACCAGUUUGAGAACCACUGCUCUAAACUAACAUGCCCCACUUUUAUCAACCCUAGCUUACUUAAGUGUUGAUAAUUUUUUUUUUAAACCUAGGAUCUCUAGGGAGAGAUCUCUACUUGGACCUUAGUGUGAGUGCCUUUAAUCAGACUGCUGUGUUCCUGAGAUCUAGUAAGAGCAGCCAUAACUAAAGAAAUUGAAGUCAUUUGAAGAACACAGUAGCUUGAGGGAGGUCAGGGCCCGGUAAGGGCUUAGUCAAAGAGCAGCAUGAAGACACUGGGCCCUUUGCAGUAAGAAAAGAGGAAGCAUGAAAAGGAAGAAAAAAUGCUUGAUACUUUUUCCUGUGGUCCUGAUGGAAUCAGUGACCUAUCUGUUAUUGAAAAACAUCUCCCCUGCAAUCUGAGCCAACUGUCAUAAUCCUGAGCCUGGGUGCCAAUAUGUAGUUUAAGGCAUAGCACUGAAGGAAAGGUGGUGGUGAUAGAGGAAAAGAUUAUAGGAGAAAGGACAGAGAAGGAGGCUAGACAGUGGAGACUAGGGCAGAAGGCAAUUCCAACACUGAUCUCCUGGCCAUAGAUGGCCUGUCUGUCCUUUAAGAAAAAAAAGUCGAAGAUGACUGUCACAGCUAACAAUAUCCUAAAGAGGCUCACAUUUUUAUUUAAAUAACUUUUGUUUCUUUGCAUUCCAAGCAACUCUGGCCAGCACUUGAGAAGCCUAAGCUUCUAAGCAUUGAUUGAAGGAACUUGUUUCAAGUAUAAAAGGACCUCAAUUUCCUGGUGACAUACAAAAUACAGAUAUUCUGGCUGCCAAGUUCAGGACUAACCAAGAAAGUGUCACCUCCCUGACACUAAAGGUUUAUAGUUUUACAAAUCCUAAGUACUCUGAAAUUGCCUAUUAUUUUUACAUGAUGCUCUGUUUCUCAAAAUAUUUCGAGAUGGUCCUUCUGCUCUCAACAGUAAAGAGAAAAAGAAAGGAAACAGGCUUUGGGGAUGGUCUGAUAGAGAACAGAUCUCUGUGACAACAGAAGUCUUGUCAAUGAUUGGGAUAUGUUGGUGGGUCCAAGUUACCCAAAAUAAACUCAGAAAUUCUAUGGAAUGUUCAUAGUUACACAAAUAUGCCUGUUUUCCUCCUUGAAAAUUGGUAGCAUUCAGAAAAACAGGUACUAGUACUGGCAAUAUUGUUCACAUGAGCCUGAACACACAGUAGUUCAUAGCCUCAUAAUACAAAUAUGCCACCCCCUCUCUAUAAUGCAUUUUAAAUCUAAAGUUAUUAGAGAUCCUUUAAGAUUCAUUAGGUCUAGAAAGAAAACUGUAGAAGUCAUUAUUCCCAUUUUACAGCUGAAGAAAUUUCCAAGAGAGAAAAUCAUUACCCUAGGACCAAUAGGGUUUCCCGCAUUUGUGAAGUGGCUCUGAAGCUUCAUUUGACUACAACAGCUUAUCUAAACUUCCUCUACAGCACUGCCAUAGAGGCAGAGUCAGUUUGCCAUUUCAGGUCAUGCCAUAUUAAUAAUUCAUUUUAAAACAAUCUAGUUCACCUUCUGAUGACCUGAGUUGGCCCUAGACAUACAACCAUAUCAGAGAGACAGCUGAUCAGUAACUUAAAAACAAUUCGUAGACCAAAUCUCACACUGUUGAAAGUAUUCUUAUACAGAACUCAGAGGUCCACAUUAUACUGUUAAUAUUAAGACCAGUAUGGUGUAAGAAUUUAGUCUGGGGAGACAUGUAUGUAGUACAGUUUGUUGGAAGAUCAUUUUCAGCUGGACAGCAGAUUUGUGUAAUAAAGGACAAUUAAUCAGAAGGCGUGCUCUUCAGAGAGAAUCUAUCUUCUAUUCUGCUGGAAUUCAUCCUUUUGUCUCCACAUGUGGAAGUGCCUCCCCUUCUGGCCCCGUUCCCUUCCCCACUCCACCAUAAAACUUGCUUUCUGUCUGGAAGUACAACAAGACACCCGGUUAGAUCAAACCUAACACACCUCCAUCACAAAGCUACUGCAAGCUGCCGCCGACGAUUGUCACUGAGGGGAAACCCUCCUCACCCCACACCGCCUAUCUGAGGAGUGCCUUUUUUCUAUCCUCAUUAUUUAACAGUGUGUGCCGAUUACUCAAAGCGAUAUGGGCAGGCCCUGGUAAAUAUAGCGUUGCUGUAGUGUUAAUUUUUAUAAGGUAAUGCUCAGGUUGCCUGCAGUGUCUAAAAUUACUCUGUGGCCAGGGCCCCCUGCUUUAUCGCUUUCUAUAGUUUUAAAGUAGUUUGAAGCUUGAAUAACAUAAAAUAACAUAAUAUAAUGUUAUUUAUGUUAUUUCCCACGUGAAGAACGCCUGUAAACCUUGCAGUAUUGAAACUCAGUGAACAAGGCAUCUUAGACAAGCUGAAAAACAAAUGGUGGUACGAUAAGGGGGAGUGUGGAGCCAAGGACUCCGGGAGUAAGGACAAGACCAGCGCUCUGAGCCUGAGCAAUGUGGCAGGCGUUUUCUAUAUACUUGUCGGAGGUCUGGGGCUGGCCAUGAUGGUGGCUUUGAUAGAAUUCUGUUACAAAUCGCGGGCAGAGUCCAAACGCAUGAAACUCACAAAGAACACCCAAAACUUUAAGCCUGCUCCUGCCACCAACACUCAAAAUUACGCUACAUACAGAGAAGGCUACAACGUGUAUGGAACAGAGAGUGUUAAGAUCUAGGGAUCCCUUCCCACUGGAGGCAAGUGAUGAGAGGAAUCACCGAAAACGUGGCUGCUUCAAGGAUCCUGAGCCAGAUUCCACUCUCCUUGGUGUCGGGCAUGACACGAAUAUUGCUGAUGGUGCAAUGACCUUUCAAUAGGAAAAACUGAUUUUUUUUUCCUUCAGUGCCUUAUGGAAUACUCUGAGACUCGCGACAAUGCAAACCAUCAUUGAAAUCUUUUCGCUUUGCUUGAAAAAAAUUAAAAUAAAACCAACAAAAAAAUGGACAUGCAAGAUUCCAGUAUGCGAAAACAAAUGUUAUUUUACAAAGUGUCAAUUCAACAAAAGCCAUUCUUUGAUACCACUGCACAGUAUACAAACACCAUGUUCUUUAACACACAUACACACAGACAAAUUUCAAAUUCCAAUUCUGCAAACAGGCCCAUCUCACUAAAAUAAUUAAUUCCUCCUGAUUUAAAGAAAAAAAAAUCUGACCUCCCUGUCUGGGAGGAGACUGGCAUUUCUUCUAGGAUCUGCUGACAAGAUGUUUUUGGUAUUUCCUGUUGGUGAUGAUGUUCUGUGCAUCCUAUUUCCUUUCAACAUUGCUGAAAUGUGUAUAUCUUUAGAAUGUAAAUGCAACACUUCAGAAAAUUCAAACACUUUGGAAAAGGGACUCAACGGUGACUUCUGUGUUUUGAAACGGUUUUGUGAAAAUGCGCUGCCAAUUUCCCACUCAGUGAAGGGAUGAACAGAACUUUCUGAAACUGACUUGUGUUUAGCAAGGGACGGGCACUCUUAGGCAUACCUCUCGGUGCUUUCCUACAAACGGAUCCCGGGGCUUUCCGAGAAGCCCGGAAUUUCAGCUCACAGAUGUGUUUUUCUUGCUUCCGUGUGCAUCUUAAGUCAAGAUAGCUGAGUAUUUAGCAUUGAGGUAGGGAAAUGCGGCCUACACUCCCAAAUGUGUUUAGAAUAUCUUUCUCAGAAACAACACUGUGUUUAGCUCCGCUUUCUCUGCUAAGUAUGCCUUUCAAAUGUACACCAUGGAGACAGGACCGCGUUGCAAGGCGGGCCAGUGGGUUCAGACCACAGUUCUCAUCUGACUUUCACUCUUGCUAGGUCUGUCUUACCAGCUGUUGCCUGUGAUUGCCUGUGGCUCUCUGUCAGACUGCAUGUGUCCUUUCCUAGUUUGCCAAGACUAAGAUGCAUUCCCAACCUACUGCUAAAUCAAGGGCCUCAGUGUCACUCCCAGGUCCUUGCUUGGAGCAGUCUCUCUACUGACUCCGAAGAUCGCACCACUGCUACACGGGCUAUCAAGUAACUAACUGCGUACCUGCCGUUGGCAUCAUCAGAACAGUCAGAGGAAAUAGUCUCCACUCACUAAUUACCUCCUAUAUAACGACGUACGCUUUCUGUAGUUCAGUAGUCUGCUCUCAUCAGCGACGUGCAUUGGGAAGUUUCCAGGCUGUAAAAACUGGGAGCUCAAAUUCAUCUCCCCAAGUGUGACCCUUAGAUGCUUUAGUUGGCUUGCUGCACAUUUGCUCUUGUCUUCAGAAAAGAAAGGUACAAGUCUAGUUUCCAAUGAAACAUUUCCGGAAAAGUGUAAUAUAAACUUUCAUUCCAAAAACUGUGUCAGAAAUGAAUGACUCACCUGUCAAAUUUUCAAUGGUAUUGAACAAAACAAACAGAAAAAAAAAAUAAAAAAAAAAAAACAAGAAAGCUGUUGUGUUUUUGUUUUCACAAAACUGAUUUUUUUUCAACUUCUGAAUGCUAUGAUGUCCCAGCGCGGGAAGCUAAUGCUGUGCCAAUAUAUGAGGUUGUAUAAAACCAACCAACCAACCUACACACAAACUUCUCAUAGGCACUGGAUAAAGAGAAGUGGAUGUUUGUUGACCCAGAUCAGUUUUUCAGAGAGGAAACUUCACUGGGAAUGAAGAGGCGGGUAAAUUGGUUUGUUAUUUUUUAAAAACGUGCAUGUUUAAAAAAAAAAAACAUUGAUUGCUUCAAAUUUCUGCUACUAACUUCAAGCUACAGGAGUUUGGCGGUAGUCACUUGAAGAUUUUUUUCCAAUAAUUUUCUUUUUGUUGUUAAAGCUGUACUUCAGUAAACAGAAACAUUGCCAAGCAAACUAAUGGCUGUAAAAGAGUAAAUUGCAUGUGUGGGAAUAAAUUACGGAGCCUCACUGCCAUGAGGUAUUGUACAAAGUUUUAAUACAUUUUGUAAAUAAAAUUGUAAAGAAAGAA